rnacentral:rRNA from 1 species
CCUACGGGGCGCUGCAGUGGGGAAUAUUGGACAAUGGGCGAAAGCCUGAUCCAGCCAUGCCGCGUGUGUGAAGAAGGCCUUCGGGUUGUAAAGCACUUUCAGUGGGGAAGAAAGCCUUGGGGCUAAUACCCUCGAGGAAGGACAUCACCCACAGAAGAAGCACCGGCUAACUCCGUGCCAGCAGCCGCGGUAAUACGGAGGGUGCGAGCGUUAAUCGGAAUUACUGGGCGUAAAGCGCGCGUAGGCGGUCUGAUAAGCCGGUUGUGAAAGCCCCGGGCUCAACCUGGGAACGGCAUCCGGAACUGUCAGGCUAGAGUGCAGGAGAGGAAGGUAGAAUUCCCGGUGUAGCGGUGAAAUGCGUAGAUAUCGGGAGGAAUACCAGUGGCGAAGGCGGCCUUCUGGACUGACACUGACGCUGAGGUGCGAAAGCGUGGGUAGCAAACAGGAUUAGAUACCCUAGUAGUC